UAUAAAGUCUUUCAGCACAGUGAGUGG
rnacentral:piRNA from 1 species